UUGCAUACCAUGUUCCAAAUGCAACGUAGGCAUCCGGAGUGACGACUGGGUCAGGAAAGCGCGCGAUAACUGUUACCACUUGGCGUGUUUCAACUGUGAUAUCUGCAACAGACAACUGUCAACAGGGGAACAGUUCACUUUACACAACAACAGGCUUCUCUGUAAGAUUCACUAUCUACAGGUGUUACAAGGCAAUAGACUUGGUGAUGAGCGUCUUGGGAAACGUAAAUCCAAGAGAAUGCGUACAGCUUUCACAGACGACCAGAUCCAUAUCUUCCAAUCAUACUUCGAUGUGGAACAGAACCCAGACCCACAAGAUUUAGAUACCAUCGCCGAACAAGCUGGAGUCGCCAGACGUGUUGCACAAGUUUGGUUCCAAAACGCACGUGCCAGGUCCAAGAAAAUGUCUAUGGCCUCUCCUGUUUCGAUUGUCUCAAAAGAAUCUAGUUCCCCAGAACACAGCUGUGGGAGUUUAGAUGACCUGACCUACAGCGACUAAAGCCUGAUCUUUGGAUUGUUACAACGUGCUAAAAAAGUGAACAA